UUGGAGGGCAAGUCUGGUGCCAACAGCCGCGGUAAUUCCAGCUCCAAUAGCGUAUAUUAAAGUUGUUGCAGUUAAAAAGCUCGUAGUUGAAUUUCGGGACUAAUAUGUCGGUCGUACUUUGUACGUACUAGCAUUAUUGGUUUCUCCCUUCUGACGAACCACGAUGUCAUUAAUUUGGUGUCGCGGGAAAUCAGGACUGUUACUUUGAAAAAAUUAGAGUGUUUAAAGCAAGCUCGCGCUUGAAUACAUUAGCAUGGAAUAAUGAAAUAGGACGUUUGAUUCUAUUUUGUUGGUUUCUAGGAUCGACGUAAUGAUUAAUAGGGAUAGUUGGGGGCAUUAGUAUUCAAUUGUCAGAGGUGAAAUUCUUGGAUUUAUUGAAGACUAACUACUGCGAAAGCAUUUGCCAAGGAUGUUUUCAUUAAUCAAGAACGAAAGUUAGGGGAUCGAAGACGAUCAGAUACCGUCGUAGUCUUAACCAUAAACUAUGCCGACUAGGGAUCGGAUGAUGUUAAUUUUUUAAUGGCUCAUUCGGCGCCUUACGGGAAAC
rnacentral:rRNA from 1 species